rnacentral:misc_RNA from 1 species
CGGUUGCUACGGUUGCUUCAGUGAUUGCAUGCACAGAAACAGAAAAGGAAGUAUCAGGAAAUCACAACUACACUGCGUAGCGCGAAGCAUUCAGUAUUAGGCAGGCAGAAUGUCAGUAGUUCUCGAAGUUCAACCGGACACAGGCUAUGAGCCCUCUGAAGCCGAAAUGGUAGAGUAUGGGAAGUGGCUUGGGAUGGAGCUUCCCGACGACACGCCCCUUUUAUGGAUAGCGCGCGAGGGUCUCAAGGCGCCACUUCCGGAGCACUGGAAGGCGUGCAAGAGCGAAAAGGGCGAGUUGUACUACUUCAACUUCAAGACCGGGCAGAGCAUUUGGGAUCACCCCUCCGAUGAACACUACCGUGAGCUCCUCAAAGCGGAGAAGGCAAAGUUGCACGCAAAAGAAAAUGGAAAGGGUGACAAGGAAGUUACCCCCGCUGCCUCGUCCAAGGCUCAGGUCGCGCAUAGCGGCAAGGCUGCAAAGAAGAGGCGCUCAAAGGCCAGCGACACGGAGGCACAUGAAACAAAACCCAAAGCCCAAGAGGCGGCUGGGAAGACCAACAGCGUCAAGGACCUGGAGCCCAUACAGAAGAAGAAGGAACUGCCCGAAUCUCUGAAGAUCAGCACGAUGCUGAAUGAUGAAGGAAGGGAGGACAAGGGAAAUAUUGCAGCGGCACGCAUGGGCUCCACCGAGCUUCAAUCUACCGCUUCCCGUAGCUGCUCCUCUCUUGUAUCUGAUGCCGCGAAAGCACCCAAAAUCGAUGAGCCCGAUGCCAUUCCCCUUCCGUCAAAGGUAGUGGCUGGUGGUGGUGUGAACGGAUUGAGGGCUCUAGACAAGCUUGGCACAUCAUCGCCAGAGAAAGUGGUGACUUCUAGCUCAAAAAAUCAUAAAGCGAAGGUGGAUCAGCAGGUGAGCAAGGACCUCGAGGAAUAUAGAGCUCAGCAACAGAGCAACCUCAAGCGUCAGAAGGAGGAAAUCGACGCAGAAGUAGCAGAGGACCUCAGACGCUAUCAAGAGUGUGCAAACACCAAAAAGCAAAAGCGGCGAGCUGCGAUCGAGAAGGAGACGGCAGAUGCGCUGAAGAUCGAGUCGGCGAGGCUUGGCGCGGAGCUAGAGAGCAAGCUCGCUGCGCUGCGGCAGGAUUAUGAGACGAAGCUCACCGCUGAAAGCGAGCGCCUGCGCAGCAAGUUGAAAGCACACCUCGAGCAUGAUAAGCGAAAAGUUGAGGCGGAGGUUGCGCAGAUGUUAGAAAUCUUUACACGCGAAAAGCGACAGGAGUCGGAGAUCAGAAAAGAGGCUCAAUCUCAGGCGUUCCAGGAAGCUAUGAAAAGCAUGACUGACCUGAAGCAGUUCUCGUCAGCCUUUCUGCACGAGUAUGAGGCUGCGCUCGCCGCCUUUGCGAAGGAUGUGCAAGAGUCGCACAGUGUCUUCGAGCAGAUUGGGGCUCAAAGGCAGAAGCAGAUGCAGGAGGAAAUGGACGCAAAACUGGCACAGAUGCGCGAGGAGCAUGACCGGCACGUUCAGAAAGCGCAAGAUUGUGCGAGCGGGCGCCUCGAGACGCUGCGGAAAGACAUGGAGCGCGAAGCAGAGGAGCUCAAACAAACUCAGAAGCAGCAACUUCAAAGGAUGCACGACGAGUUCAUGGAACAGCGCAGUGCCCAUCAAAAAGAGCAGCUUUCUCAAGAUCACGAGCGCUUUAUGGAGACGCUGGGGGAAAUUAAGGCUUCCCAAGCAAAGGAGCUCGAGGCCCUGAAGCAGCAGCUGAAGGAGAAGGCUCAAGAAGAGUUGAAUGCUAUUAUGCAGGAGCUCAUGAAGGAAAAGGAGUCGCGACGGAGCAGCCUGAGCGUCGUGCGGCUUGCUGAAUCGCACGAGCCAACUCCUCGCAUGUUGGAAAGCCGAUCUAUGAGUGCUACAGAUGACGACGGUGACGUCGGAAAGGGAAAGGCGCCUCCUCCGCAUCUGGACAGAAAGCUACUGACACGUACCUCAGUCGAGGAGAGCGCUGCUGGGGCCGCCCCUGCUGCGGCACCGCAGCCGGACAUCAAAGCUCUUGUCACAGAGGCACUUCGUGAGGUGUUUGCCGGAUCGCCCUUCAUCCUUCCAUCUCCGCAAACGGGAGAGUUUCGAACGGCUCCAGGAACGCCCGCCGCCACAGCGUCUGCAACCACACCGUCAAGGAGCGGGCAGGACUUUCGCUCCUCGAACCCGGCGGCAAACCUGAUGCCGCCUGCCCUGAGCGGCAACCCAACCAAGGCAUCUGGAGCGUUUAAGCUACCCCUUUCUUUCGAGGAGCAGCGCAGCCUAGUGGAGGGAGAAAGGAGUCGCCUGCAGGAGGGCCGCAAGUAUGUAGAGCUGCAACAGCAAAACCUCGAAGAGCGGAAGCAGCAGUUGCGGCGCACGCGACACCAGUGGAAGCAAGAUGUUCUUGCCGCCAAACGGGAAGGCGUUCGCUCAUCUUCGAAUCGUGGGCAAUUACUCAACAAGGUUCGCCUUACACUGGAAGAGCAAGCGCAGGGCUUGGAGCAUGACAUGAUGAUCCUACGCGACUCUCAGGUAUGGCUCUUGUCGAAAGAGCAGCGCCUGAUUACUUUGGAGAAGCAGAUCGAGGAGCAGGAGCGGCUAAGGAGUCGUAACGGCGGCGAGGCUUCAGCGCUGAACAACUGCAGCGUCGACACUGCGGCGCUCAUGACUGGCUUCUUCAAACCUCCGCGGCACAGCGUCGCGACCCACGAUACAGCUUUCCACCGCGAUGUAAUGGGGUAUAAUGCUCUUGGGAGUGGCAGCAACCUUCCCAUGGACAAUUAUGCAGCGAGCCCGAUUCUCUCAAAGGCGCUUAGUCGCAUCGAACGGCGCUUGGACGAGGUCACAUCUAUUAUUCACAUGCAGCACCAACAGACCGCUUCGCAAGCCAUGACACCGUCUCAUGGGCACGGCAACAGCCGCCGGCACAGCACCGUGUCGCCAGUUGUUCGUGAGGCUGUGCCGGGGUAUGUACGUCGCACAUCGCGCAGCCACUCAAAGUCUGAUGCCCUGCGGCGCGACACGCACCUGGAUCAGUGGCAAGCCCCUGGGAUAUGAAGGCGGCCUUUGCUGAUGACCACUGGUCAGCGCGCCGCAAAGCUGUUGAUUUCAUCCAUCAUUUUUUUUUUUCAUGUAUGCGUUUGUCUUGUGGCGUUGUCCUCUCAUGCACGUUGUCCCUUCUUCCAUAGCGUGCAUCUCAUAGACAAUAAGAGAAGCGGAAGAAACUGCAGACAACGAUAGACAAAACUGGAGCAAUGCUUUCACCCAACUAAGUUUGUCCGUCUUUGUGUGUGUGUAUGCUCACGGCUCACUUUUUUUUUCACGUUUUUGUAGUUCCGUGAUGGUCCUGCCUUACUGCACAUAGAAUGGCUUUACUUUUCCCCCUUUACCCUUUGAAUAAUACUACAAAGUUCGUGUGGGUGUGUGCCUGUGCUUCUUGGGUACGAGUUCAAGUCUUGCAUUCAUUGUAAAAUUAGCCUUUUCUUGCCUUUUUUCGUUCCCUUUGCUUCCCGCUCAUGCUGCAUAUACACAUACACACCCCGUCACCAGUACUUUUGGCCUCUGCUUCUCCUCUUCUUGCGUGCUGGAGUAUUGUUACGAAGAAACGGUGUUCCCAGCACGGGUAGUAAAAAGGGCAAAGAAAACGCCAUUAUGGAGGAAGGGAAGCGGAGGGACAAACUCCCGCAAAUGCAUGAAGAAGCGACGCAGCGAGUAGAUGUAGACACAAUUUGUUAACGUGAUAGACACCCAAGCGCUGGUGCGCCAUCCUCGGCGUUUCUAUACCUGCCCUGUUGUUGAUGUUUUUCUGUCUUCAGUUCUUUUCAGCCUUUUUGUCUCUCUGUAUUGUGUUCAUUGCUUUUUGUUCACUCUUCAGUGAUUAUUACCGUUGCUUUCGGGUGCGUGCUUGAGGAUCUGUUCGGCUCUUUUUUCUUCCUCCUCGUUUUCACGUGUGGAGAGAAGGCAAGCAAACAACCAAAAAAGAACGAUGCGCCCUGAUAGAUGCGCUUCUGUUUGGGAGCAUUUUCGCCGUCGUGUCGUCCAGCGCUUUCGGCCAUAAAUCAACGGAAGAUUCUAAGUCGUGAGGGCCACUUUUGUGGCGCUGGUGCCAUGUUCGGUCCUACUCGAUGAUGAGUGAUGGACUAACUUGCUUAGGUUUCUCCGCCAAUCUUUCUCUAACUCGCCUCGUAUCUAUUUCUUUUUUUUUUGCUGACAG